rnacentral:rRNA from 1 species
UACGGGGGGGGGCAAGCGUUGUUCGGAAUUACUGGGCGUAAAGGGCUCGUAGGCGGCCAACUAAGUCAGACGUGAAAUCCCUCGGCUUAACCGGGGAACUGCGUCUGAUACUGGAUGGCUUGAGUUUGGGAGAGGGAUGCGGAAUUCCAGGUGUAGCGGUGAAAUGCGUAGAUAUCUGGAGGAAUACCGGUGGCGAAGGCGGCAUCCUGGACCGAGAUUGACGCUGAUGAGCGAAAGCUAGGGGAGCAAACGGG